CAUCCCCUUCGCCGGCUGCGC
rnacentral:miRNA from 1 species